rnacentral:snRNA from 1 species
GUGCUUUCUUUGGCAGCACAUAUAGUAAAAAAUUGGGAUGAUACAGAGAAUAUUAGUAUGGCCCCUGCGCAAGAAGGACAGGCAAAUUCCUGAAGCAUUCCAUAUUUUU